GCAAUCUGAAGGCAGACAGAAUUCAAGAUUUGAAGAUCUGUGCCAAAAUUAUAGCCGAGUCAAGGUCCUGAGGACGAUUGGUAGCUCCCAUUACUAUGACCUAAGUGUAUAAAGAAGACAGAAGGUAUUAAAUCUACCAAUUAUACUCCUCUGAGAAUGUUAUUACUAGGGCUUAGUUUUAAAAAUUAAGUGGUAUUUUAACUAAAUCCUUCGUAAGAAAUCUGAUUUUAAAUCACUAUUAUUCAACUAUUUACAGGUAUAAAUUGAAGUUAAUCCUAAAUAAAUCA
rnacentral:lncRNA from 1 species